UCCUUCCUACGGGACGCAGCAGUGGGGAAUAUUGCACAAUGGGGGAAACCCUGAUGCAGCGACGCCGCGUGAGUGAAGAAGUAGUUCGGUAUGUAAAUCUCUAUCAGCAGGGAAGAAAAUGACGGUACCUGACUAAGAAGCCCCGGCUAACUACGUGCCAGCAGCCGCGGUAAUACGUAGGGGGCAAGCGUUAUCCGGAUUUACUGGGUGUAAAGGGAGCGUAGGUGGCAUGGUAAGCCAGAAGUGAAAACCCGGGGCUCAACCCCGCGGAUUGCUUUUGGAACUAUCAGGCUGGAGUGCUGGCG
rnacentral:rRNA from 1 species